GAUGAAGAACGCAGCGAAAUGCGAUAAGUAAUGUGAAUUGCAGAAUUCAGUGAAUCAUCGAAUCUUUGAACGCACAUUGUGCCCGCCAGUAUUCUGGCGGGCAUGCCUGUCUGAGCGUCAUUUCAACCCUCAUGCCCCUAGGGCGUGGUGUUGGGGAUCGGCCAAAGCCCGCGAGGGACGGCCGGCCCCUAAAUCUAGUGGCGGACCCGUCGUGGCCUCCUCUGCGAAGUAGUGAUAUUCCGCAUCGGAGAGCGAUGAGCCCCUGCCGUUAAACCCCCAACUUUCCAAGGUUGACCUCAGAUCAGGUAGGAAUACCCGCUGAACUUAAGCAUAUCAAUAAGCGGAGGA
rnacentral:misc_RNA from 1 species